GAGAGUAUUUUUACUCAAGUGGCGGACGGGUGAGUAACACGUGAGAAUUUGCCUUUAGGGGGAUAACAAUUGGAAACGAUUGCUAAUACCCCAUAUGCUUGAGAAAACGGAUUUAUCCGCCUAGAGAAAAGCUCGCGGCUGAUUAGCUAGUUAAGGUAAUGGCUUACCAAGGCGACGAUCAGUAUCUGGUUUGAGAGGAUCAGACACACUGGAACUGAGACACGGUCCAGACUCCUACGGGAGGCAGUGGGGAAUUUUCCGCAAUGGGCGAAAGCCUGACGGAGCAAUACCGGAGGGAAGACGGCCUAUGGGUUGUAAACCUCUUUUUUCAGGGAGGAAAUGACGUGUACCUGAAGAAUAAGCAUCGGCUAACUCCGUGCCAGCAGCGGUAAGACGGAGGAUGCAAGUGUUAUCCGGAAUCACUGGGCGUAAAUCUGUAGGUGGUUUAAUAAGUCAACUGUUAAAUCUUGGGG
rnacentral:rRNA from 1 species